UUAUUCUGAGCUUGAAGAAAACACGAGGUCCUACACAAUGCUUGAAGAUUCAUGCAAGACAGUUGGAAGAUAGAGAAGAAAUUACUCUAGAUAUUGAAGGAGAGGCAAUUGGUCCUACUGAUGAAGCUGUAAAUAACUUGAGCAAAUUUUUGGGCACAGUGGCAAGGAAUUCAGAUUUUUGUCCAUUAAUUUACACAAAUUGGAAGGGGAUUAAAGAUAAAGAAGCCAUUUGGGAAUAUGUUCAAGCUAAGUUCAUUAUUCCAACUGAAGGAAAGAGGAUAGUCCUUGCUCGUAUCAAUGACAACUAGAGACGGUAUAAGACCACAAUCAAGCAAAAUCAUUUUCUGCCAUACAAAAGUGUUAAUGAAAUGCUGAAAAAUCGUCCUAAAAGCAUACCUGAGAGUCAUUUUCGCAAGUUGAUUGCUUAUUGGAGAACUGAGAAAGUUAAAGAAAACUAUGUUGA